rnacentral:rRNA from 1 species
UACGAAGGGGGCUAGCGUUGCUCGGAAUCACUGGGCGUAAAGGGUGCGUAGGCGGGUCUUUAAGUCAGGGGUGAAAUCCUGGAGCUCAACUCCAGAACUGCCUUUGAUACUGAGGAUCUUGAGUUCGGGAGAGGUGAGUGGAACUGCGAGUGUAGAGGUGAAAUUCGUAGAUAUUCGCAAGAACACCAGUGGCGAAGGCGGCGAACUGGACAGUAACUGACACUCAACUGCGAAAGCGUGGGGAGCAAACAGG